AAGUGAAGGUCCGUUUUGCGCAGGUGCGAGUUCAUUUCUACCACUUGAGCGGCGCGACGCAAUGUGGCUCAUCACACAGCAUGGAAACACCUCAACUCUCUGGAUUGGAGGACAUAACUCUCCAUCAGCUUGCAUGCAUAAGGUUGCAAGGUUGCAUGUAUUUAUCAUGGGAGUCAACCCAGGCAGGAAUGCAGAUGUCACAUAUCUUCACUGUAAACUCUAAUCCCAAGAAAAUUCUUUUUUGGAGAAAAGAGUGUGUGUGAUGCAUCUCUUCUGAACUACAUUCCAAGAACGAUGUCAGCAUUUGAUGAUAACAAAAGCAGCCCAGCCCACCUCUGAAACUUUUCCUGGAAGCAGAGUUCCAUGUAAGCCUGCUGGGAAUGGGACAGACAAGAUUACAUCCGGAUCUAAUCUUUCACAGCCACAGUGAACAAGUGGAAAAAAAGGCGUGGCAUGCCUUUCUGCCACCACAGCUUUAUUUUCUACCCUUCCAAAGAAGAAAAAUGGAAAAUAAAAACACAAGACAACUAAGGAAUGAAGUUAACUAUCUAGGCUUUUCUAGAGAGAAGAGUAUUCUCUUGCGUUUUUAAAAGGAAUGUUUUAAGAAUGUUCCAUGUCUUCCCUACUUUCUAAAAUGAUAGGAAAAGAAGGCAUGGCCACUUUACCCCCCCCCCCCUGAAUAAUCAAAAAGUCAUUUCGUCAAGCUUCAUAUGGAACGUUAAAAAAGUGGGUAGGUAUGUAGAAGCCUGCUUCCCUGCAUACGUAUGUGCCUAAAUGUAUACAUUUUCAGAGCAAAUAUUGUGUAAACAAAUUCUAUGUUUGACACCCAUAUCUUGCAAGUACUAUAAUUCUUUUGUUUCAUUGUCUGUAGGUGUUUUAAAUGCCACGGUAUUUAAAAUCUAUGGAGGGAGCUGAAGGUUCGAGCUACCAAAUGUCGGCCUCAAAACCUUAAUGACUUGAAGAGGUUCUUCAAAGAGGAGUGGGACAAAAUACCUCCUGCGAUGCGGCCAACUACAAGAAAUGUCUGACCUCUGAUUGCCAACGAAGAGUUUUCCCACUAACUACUAGGUCAUGUUUUGGGAAGGGUGAAAUACUUAUUUCACUCAUUAAAAUGCAAGUCAAUUUAUAACUUUUUUGAAAUGGCAUUUCUCUGGAUUUUUUUGUUGCUCUGUUUCACUGUUAAAGUAAGGCAACGAUUAAAAUUAUAGGCUGAUCAUUUCUUUGUCAUUGGACAAAUGUACAAAAUCAGUAGGGGAUCAAAUACUUUUCCCCCUUCACUGUAUGUGCUUAAAUGUACGUAUGCGAUUGCAAAUGUAUGUAUGCGAUUGCGCAUGCUCAAGAUGGCGCUGCGGUUGAAAUAGCGACGAUGGAAUGGCUGUUCUUUCCUGGUCAGCCCUGAACGGGGGAGACCGUUUUUUAAUCUGUAGGUCCCCUGCCUGGCUAGGGGAACUAGUCGCCAGCCUGGAAGAGCAUAGCUGGCGGCGAACGAGGUCGGGGUAAGCCGUGGCUCCGUUGGCGAAGCCAGAUGGUGAUGGCGGUGGCCACGGAGGAGGCAUUUCCGGCGGCGGCGGCGUUCUCAGUGGCAGUGGAGGCGGUGGCGGUGGGGUCCCUCCCCCAGUUCCACGGACCCCCAGGGAGCCCUCUUGGGGGGUUUGGGUGGCGGUGACCGCCGCGUUGGUGGCCGCCGCGGUUGCGGCUGCAGCGUCGUCGUGUGAUGGCAGCGUUAUUUCCGACGUUUCCUGCGACGGCACUGUUCCUGCGGUGGUGGUGACAUCUUCCCCUCUUGGGGCCCUUUCAGAAGCCCGAGUGUGUGUGACCCGGCGAUUGAGGCCUUGGAUUUAUUGUCAUCUAACUUUGUUCCCAGUCGGAGACUUAUAUUACCAUCUGGACUGGCCGGGAUAAGAACAUUUGCCAUUCUUCGAAUCAUGGAUGUAUUCAUCAGCAGAACUUCUUGGUCUGCGAGAUUGCCCCCCUCUUGCAUAUGUGGCCCUCCACUCUAUCGAGGGCCUACCUCGAUGAUGGAAUUUGGAAUCCCGAGAGGUGGCAUGUGACAAAGAAAGGACUCGGGUUUUUUAAAAUCGUUUUUUAAAGGGUUUUUAAGGGGAGGGAGGGUUAGGAUGGGUUUUGGGGGAAGCCCCUCAGAGACAUACUGCGAGGGCUCGCGGUAUAGUUGCGGUAGGUUCGGGGGCGAAGGAGGAGGCUGGAGCUCGAUUCUAUGGGGGCGAUUCCAUUGGCACGGUAAUUGGGAGGGGCAGAUAUGGCGGAAGCCGGGGACUGCAUCUUGUUCAGGGAGUGCACGCUCGUCAUCCUCAUACUAAGGUUUUAGUAUGUUUAUUAAAAGGUUUGGGGGAAGGUUUUAAUAAAAUGUUAUAUGUACGUUAACUUUUUUUUUAAAUGACGGAUAUAAUCAGAAUACAGCAGGUUACAUUUCAGCAACAUUUGUUGGUUUUGAAAAUGGCUGAAUCCUUUUCACUGUUAAAGAAAGCUGUUUCAAGUCUUUAAGCUGGCUGGAGGCCAUUAAAAGAUUACACAAGA